rnacentral:lncRNA from 1 species
AUUCAUCAGCGGUGCUGUGCGAGAUCCGGUGGGAUGCGUGUCAUCUCCCGCGCUGUGCACCGGAGAUAAGUGCGGCCUGGAGAUUUCUGCGUGACUUGCUCUGGGUGUCGCCGCUGGGCGAGGUCCGCCUUCCUCACCCCUCCGCCUGGGAUCCCGGCGCAGUUUCCAGGGCAGGGGCCUAAGAAAGACAACCCCAAAUUACCAACCCAAAAGGAGGCAGGAUAGCGAAUAUUCAUCUAGAAGGAAAAAAUAAGUCUCAACGAAUGACACAUUUAAAGAUGCUGACAAAUGCGAUACACAUCACAAAAUCCAGGAAAAUACUUCUAUUAACCCAGCUUUUUCCCUAUGUAUUUCUGAUUGCAUAUUCUGCUUCUUCAUUGAUAUUAAUCUUGUAAUAUUUUCUCCAGAGAGAAGAGCAAGAUAAAUCAGUCUUUAGUAUGGUUGAUGGAAUUUAUGAUUGACAUCUUAGGAAAGUUUCAUUCAGCUUCAUCACUUAACCACAUUUGUGUGCUUGUGCUGAUAUGAUUACCAUAGUAUGUGAUUGAAAAUAAAAGCAUUACUGAGCACCAGGAGGUCCCUUAGAGGGGGCUCUUCACCUCCUUUCAGCCUGCACGGCAAUUCUAUCAUGAUGUCCUGCGGAAAUUUAGGUGGGAGUGGGUGGAGGGUAAGAACUUCAGGGCUCAUGUAGUGUGUGUGUCCACAAAACGUGUUGCGUUGUGCUGGACACAGAGAUGUGCUGGCCUGAUUCCCCUUAAGAUGCCACAGCUGCUAGGAGGGCAGUUGGCAGGGGCCUUCAGUUGUCAGCCUAUUCUGGGAUGAUUCAGUUGCAGAGAACUCCCUCACCCAAGGUCCUGCUGCCCCAGGGUGGCCCAGCACCAGUGACUGAUCCAGGUGGGAACAGGAAGGCUGUAUCAUUUCAGUCUGAUGGAAGAAAACCCUGGGCCACUUUAUCUUCCGAGCUCUCAAUUCCACGGAAUUGGAUGGGGUAACCUACCAAUCCUGUUUCUUUCCUUCCCUUCCUCCCUAUAUAAACAUCCUCUCUGAGUCUUCUCCAGUUGCAGGAUCUACACAUUUAACUUGUACCUUUUCCAAUUUUCACAAACAGACCGAGGUGUCUUCCUCCUCCUUCCUUAGGAGUGUUCAGAAACUUAACAUGCUCUUCCUUGGACUCUGUGCUUCCCACACAUAAUUUACUUUUCAAACAUCUAACUGGGCCCAUUUAGAGACUUGAGACCUUGAAUAAGAUUUUCUUUUUUCUUUUUGAGUUUUGGAUGAUUGACUCUUCCAUUGUUACCAGAUAGAGUUGUCCAGGUUCUUGGUGUGUUGAACAAAGAAUUGAACAAAACACACAAAGUAACAAAGGAAUGAAGCAACGAAAAACAAAGCAACAGGAGAACGGAGUAAGGAAAGCACAGAUUCAUUGAAGACAAUUCACAGAGUGCGAGCGGACUGGAGCCCGCAGCUCAAGAGCCUCUUCAAUUAGGGUUUUUAUAAAGCCAAAAGAACUUGGCAACACCCCUGGGUACCCUUUAGAGGCCUCCAAUUGGUUACACCCUAUGAAGGAUUGGCCUGUGACCAAUCAGAGCCUAAAGUGGAAACUUGGCCUGCAGUCAUUCAGGGGCUGAAGUGGAAACUUCUUUCUUGUUAUCACGGGAGUGAAGAUGUAGCCUAUGUCCUGCCCAAUCUUGCUUAAAACUGGCUGCACCUGCUGUUCUCUUGCUUAUGCGAACUGGCUGCAUCUGCUGUUCCUUUGCUUAUGCCUCAACCCUUUGCUACCCCAGUUCCCUAUUCUCCUGCCUCACCAUGACUCUCUAACAAGCACGAUAGUACCAGUUUUCAAAACUGGCGUCUCCCAGGGCUUAUUCUCUAUUCCUGGGAAACCAUUCCAAGAUUUCCUUUGCUGGCUUCACUGACAAUCCAAGCAUCUGCCUCUGUCCUAGGAGUUUGGGGGCAGCUUCAGUGGAAAGAUUUCUCAAUCUCAAGUUCAAGUCUUUAAUUGAAGUCCAAAACAUACUUGCUUUAGCCAAACUCCUUCUGAGCCAGCCAAAGUCCAUGCAUUAACCCUUAUUGUUCUGGCCUGGUGGUCUUCCAGUCGUCUCUGACUGGCUUUCCCCAUCCCAUGGUCUAAAGUGGUGCUCCAGCUAAAGAAAGAAGAACCCUGUAUCAUGCUUCUCAUGUGAUGCUGUAGCAGGACAAGCCGCAGACAAAACCCCUCAGACACCGAGUUAAAGAAGGAAGGGCUUUAUUCAGCUGGGAGCUUCGGCAAGACUCACGUCUCCAACAACCGAGCUCUCCCGAGUGAGCAAUUCCUGUCCCUUUUAAGGGCUCACAACUCUAAGGAGGUCCAUGUGAGAGGGUCGUGAUCGAUUGAGCAAGCAGGGGGUAAGUGACUGGGGGCUGCAUGCAUCAGUAAUUAGAAUGGAACAGAACGGGACAGGGAUUUUCACAGUGCUUUUCUAUACAAUGUCUGUAAUCUAUAGAUAACAUAACCGAGUAGGUCAGGGGUCGAUCUUUAACUACCAGGCCCAGGGUGUGGCGCCAGGCUGUCUGCUUGUGGAUUUCAUUCCUGCCUUUUAGUUUUUACUUCUUUCUUUAGAGGCAGAAAUUGAGCAUAAGGCAAUAUGAGGAGUGGUCUCCUCCCUUAAUGCCAUUCUCUGUAACACCUCACCCUACCACCCUUGGCAGCCUAACCAUAUUACUCCAGACCUGCUAAGCAAACUCCUUUGCCACCACUUUCCACUCCCACAUAACAGGGAAGGAUCACAAGUCAGCUCCUUCCCCAGCAGCAGGUUUCUGGGUGCAGCAUCUUGGAAUCUCACAGGGUUUCCAGAGAUGACGGCGGGUGGCUCCGGCUGCCCCUGCACAGUGCCCUCUACUGGCCGGGCUGGGAUUUCCAACCCUCCAAGUGCUGUUUAAAUGCCUAGGAAAUAGUUCUCUUUAAAGUUAUAUUACGGCUGCUCUUAUAAAAUGUGCCUGAAUUUUGCUUCAAAUAAAAGAGAUGGAGACUUAUUCUGCAUGGAGUUGUCAUGUAAAUAUGUUUCUGUUGGAAAGGUGUGGAAAUGUUACCACCAGUCUGUGGUUGGAGAAGCGCAGCUUUUGGCUGGUCCCAG